AGGUACUUGUUCUCUUCACUCUUCGGGAUUCUAUAAGAGAUGUCCAGCAAGCAGCAGAGCUGGGCUUACGAUGUUGUACCAAGCAUGGAAGGAAGCACUGCAAAGCUGACAUCAGCACAAAUACCUGUGGAAACUGCAGGGGGCAAGGCAAUGAGGUGCUACUUCAAGUAGGAUGUGACCAUUUGACAUAUCCUUGCUGACAAUUGAACAAAAUGCUCUAAUACGGCAAAGAAUGAGAAGACACAACGGUGGAGCCAGAACGAGCACAGAAUGAGCGCCACACUGGUGGGCAUCAGGACCUUCCUCUAGACCUUCCUUCCUCUAGACCAUCAGGACCUUCCUCUCCAUGUGACAUUUAGGUGAAGGCUGAAAGCUGAGUAAGAGCUAGGCCUACACGAACACUCUAGAUUUCUUUUCACAUACCAGGAAGGGCCCCUGAGACACGGAGGAGAAAGGUGUUGUACUUGAGACAUCGUUUUAACUGACACCUUUGUUAUUAUUCCAGGCAGACCUGUUCACUUUAUUAUCUGGUCUUCUAUGAGACCACCUACUCGUGUUAUUGUGCAAAUUGAUGUCAUCCAAUUAAGUCUUCUCUUUCUUUUACUGUGCUUAAAUGAUGACUUUGGCUACUUGAAGUUUCACUGGAGCAAAUUAGCUGUGUUGGAUGCGGACAGCGGGAUGGUGCCCAGAUGGCAGUGGCAAGCGAGCUCCUGUUUCACUGUGGUCCUCACGGCAGCAGAAAGGGAAUGUUUCUCUAUUAUCCAUUCUUUGUGGAUUAUCCUUGCUUGCUUUCUUCUCUUUUCUUUUCAUGAGUAAUCGGUAGCUGGCUUCAUUUGUCUUCCUUCCUCCCUAAAUUUUCAUUUAGCCAAAUUCUCCUCCAGGCUUUAAAAAUCACCUUCUAUAUCCAAAAACCAAAGGGGUCCUAUUUAAUUCUCUGAGGGAUGAGGCUGUCUUUGGUUGUGGACCUGCUUAUUCAUAUUGGAGGCGGCAGGGAGAACUCGCAUCUUGUGGUUUCUGGCAGCCCAAAGGAAGGGGUUCUUGUCCAGGCUUCUGUAUAGAAAACUGGACACAUAGCAAGGUUCCCAAAGUCGUCCCAGCCAGAGCCAAAUCCUAGAGACAUGGGCUGGGAGAUUUGGCACAUAGUCCAGAAAACCAUGGAUAGAAUUCAGGCAUCCAUGAACCUGGAUAGGAAAGCAAUUGCGUCAUAUUUUCACCAGUUUUUAGCUGUAAUUCAGCAUUUUCUUCCAUUAUAAUUGGAGGCAACAAACACGGUAACCUAUGACUUUAUCACCAAGAGAAACUUCAGAUAUUACAGUUGGUGCUUAUUUUUGGAACAUUAUUCAUACUUAUCACUUAGGUGAAUUUUGGUGGCUAUAGGGCCUGCUGCAGGGUUCUGUUAUUUAAUAUGGUAAUAAAUAAGCACAUGAAUUAUUUUGUCAUGGUUAAAGAAUUAUUUUGAUAACGUGCUUCAAUAUAAUUGGCUGCCUGUCAAAUUGUG
rnacentral:lncRNA from 1 species